rnacentral:rRNA from 1 species
GACGAACCUUGCUAACGUUAUUCGGAAUUAUUGGGCGUAAAGGGCGCGUAGGCGGCCUGGCAAGUGGAAGGUGAAAUCCCUCGGCUUAACCGAGGAACUGCCUUCCAAACUGCUUGGCUUGAGUCCGGGAGAGGUGAGUGGAAUUCCCAGUGUAGCGGUGAAAUGCGUAGAUAUUGGGAGGAACACCAGUGGCGAAGGCGGCUCACUGGACCGGAACUGACGCUGAUGCGCGAAAGCGUGGGGAGCAAACGGG